UUCACAUGAUAUUUUACAAGAUAUAAAAUGACGCAUAAUUAUAUUUUAUGCAGUCUUAGAAGACAUAAAAGUCUAACAUGAGGGGGAAAAAUGUCAUAUCCACAAAUAAAAUAUAAGUCAGAGGACUAAUCUGUUCCACGCUGAUAUGGUCGCUGUUGUGGCGCACGCAAGCUGAUGCGUUGGAAAGCAACGCGCACAAGCCUCCCCCUCGUUGAGAGGAGACAGGCCGAGGGCUGCCGCUCGCCGGGCCAUGCCUGGUACGACAGAUGGCCCUGCCGUUGUUGUUCAGUCGGUAUUGGGCAGCCGCGUUGAAGAUGCAGGUGUUGAUUCUGAGUGGUUGCUUCUACGAUCUUGAAGAUUUUCUGUUCAGAGUGAUCUCGCCCACACCCACUUUUUUCAAGUAGAUGGUUGAAUGUUGAUCCAUCCAUGUAAAUAUUCUUGCACAGCAUGCAUGGACGUACAUGAAAACAGAAUCAUAUAUUAAUUUGCUGAUCCUAAUCACAAGAAGACAAUAAAUUAGGCUAUUGAGUUUUUCUUUCCAUGAAUGCAUGCAUGCCUAUGCAUGGCCGUCUUUGUCGUGGACGUUCUAGCCGAAUCACCCAGCGAUCAAUUCCAAGGCUGCAGAUGGAGUUUCGCUGAGGCCCCUUCGCGGCGGGAGCGUGCCGCACCGAGGAGCCUGUAUUGUCCGCCAACCGAGUUUUUGUCGCCCAUGCAACCCUGUCGGGAGGACGACGAGGCGUUGGAUCCUGUAGGCGAGCGUUGCGGAUGUUCUACCGUCUCAGAUGGCCUUUUUCUCUCAAAAUAAAGGGCGAAGUGCUGAUAACGUGUUUGAAAUAGAAAGUAAAGAACAAGAGAGAUGAAUGAAAG
rnacentral:lncRNA from 1 species